AGGAAAGAUAUAGCAAAAAACAGUUACACACUGGAUGUUUAGUCAUCGAGAAUACUAUUUUCUUGCCUCUCCAGAGUGUUCACAUUGAUAAAGAGACGGCAAGUCGACUGAAGUCUGUGAUUAACACUACUUUGAUUAUCACCAACAUACCCUACAUCAUCAUGGCGCUGGGUGUGUUCUUUGGUUUGGUUUUUACCUGGCUUGCAUGCAAAGGACAGGGAUCCAUGGAUGAGGGAACAGCAGAUGAAAGAGCACCCCUCAUUCGAACCUAAACAUUGCCUUUGCUUGGUGAAGAAACUGUGAGCUGUCCUGACCUGGACCAUGACGUGGGGAAAGCCUCCAUCUCCUUGCAGGCUUGUUGCCUGUUGAAAGAAGGGAAAAGACAUGGCGCUGGCAAGUGAUAGGAACAUUCUGGCCAGAGGUUAAAGAGCAGGCUGACAUGGCUGGCCAUUAAGCUUUAUAAAAUCAUGUGGGCUCUGAAAUUGUUCUUUUAUGUGUCUAGCAAGUAUUUAAUAAACCCUUGUAUAGU
rnacentral:sRNA from 1 species